CAAAAAGACACUGAAGAAGAUUCAACAAUUAUACUACUUUUAGCAUACAUAGAUGUUCAUAUGAAUAUGUGGGUUUAUGAUAUAUAUUAGAAUAAAAGUUUAUAGGUAGCCAAUUUAUUUUCUUCUUAUCUCAACUCUUUCCAGAGACCCUAUAAGAAGAAAGAGCUACAACCUAUCAAGAAAGAACUGAAGCCUCUAGACAAAAGGUCAAAGACUAUUAUAAAGUCUGAUAAAAUCAACGGCAAAGUUAGAAGAAUUGGACCACACAUAGAAAAUUUCCAACUGUUCCAGGGAAGAAACAAAUCUAUAUUUACUAAAAGAAUUGUUAAACUGAUCGUCACUGCACAAGCAUUUAUUGAAAGAUCCCCAGAGCGGGGAGACCCUCACUCAAAUCUCCACCAAGAACUCACACAUGACCAUCCUUGCUGUAAUCACAUGAGGUUUAUCGAUAGGAACCAGUGCACUAGGGUCGAGAUUCAUAUCCCAUGCAGUGGCUGUGGAGUUGGACCCCGAGAGGCUGGGAGAAAGAGUAUUUAAAGGAAGAGACUGUGAGCCCCAGAGGAUGAGGUGAUGUCAAAGGGGAAUGUCAAAGAUACCACAAGUUACAGGAUUGUUUUAUGGCUCUAGUAGAUAAGGGGAUGCCAAAAGGUUUUAUGGUCCACUGGUUCCUGGAACAGAGCUACUAAAUCAGGAGAAGGGUCAGGUCCUCAGGUCCUCAUUAUUUUUAUCUCUUGUCCUGUCAGGGUAAAAGUUUGUCAGAGUUGAUGAAGCAUCUGCAUUUGAAACACAUCUGGUUAGGCUUGGGCCCCAGGUUUCCCGGAGUGCUCUCUGCAGGGGGCUUAAACAAACAAUACAGGGGCCCGAACAGUUACUCACACCUGGUGAUAAGCAAAGUAGUUCUCUUGCAUUUUUAACAAUCUGUCUUCCUGAGUCAGGUCCUGUUGCUGAGUUUUGGGCUAAUUUAAAACUCUCUCAUUAUCAGGGGGUGGCUUGAGCGCAAAAGACUUCAAUGAAUAAAGAGCAAGGUAAGGGUUGCCCUGCAGAUAAGAAUGUCUUUAAAAUUGUCUAUGUAGACUUCUGGUUGUUUGAUGUGGGUUUGUUGUUAUUAUUGUUUUAAGACAGGGUUUUUCUGUGUAGUCCUGGCUGUAUUAGAACUUGCUCUGUAGACCAGGCUGGCCUUGAACUCAGAGAUCUGCCUGCCUCUGCCUCUUGAGUACUGGGAUUGAAGGAGAUACGCAGCACUACCAUCUUGCUUCUUAUGUAUACUUAAUUAUAGAAUUCAAAUAGUUAUCUCUAAGAAGAAGAGAUAUCUCUUCUAUCUCUACAAAAAUCUAUACAUUUGGAUUGAGAAAAUCAAAUGAGUAAUUUAAUUUAUUCUGGUAACAGUUUUGCCUUCUGAGAAUUUGGGCACUUAGCAAAAUAUUAUCUUUAGCUCUUUAGCCAGUGUUCAGCAGUUCUGGGACUAGAGGAAACUGUCUUUCUUUUUUUUUUUUUUCUGCUAUUUACUCUCUAGCUAGAAUAAUUAGAAGCUUUCUGCUUCCCAAACUCCUGGGUACUCUUGAAGUGCAUUAAACAUUUCCUUUGGAAAUAACUGUGUGUAACUCUUCCCUCUACAACUGUCUUGGCAGGUUUUAGAAACAGCAAUAUUGGGUUUCAUAAUAAACCACAAGUAUGACUUUUGGCUGCCCAAAUACAAGAGAGUCCCAAAUGGAUGUGUUCUGGUAAAACUAUGAGGGCAUGAGAAAUGUAUUCACCUUGAGGAUUAAAGCUUGGCAAACUAUAAAGACAUGCACACAUUGUUUUCAGAGUAGCCCAUUGGAAGGACCUUGCUGUUAGGUCCCCAGAGUACCUAUUUUUAAGAACAUGGUUAUCUGCUUGUUCGUAAGUGGAAGUGUAUCCAUUGCUUAUAUCAUUCUGAUGUGAAAUCUGUCUUAUUAAAAGUAAACUCUUUAUACUGAAUUCAUCACUAAUUCUGUUAGGUAGCCACUGUAUAUUUUAUACUUGAAAAAAUACAAGCUCCAAUAAUAAAAUCAACUGCUCAAAGUCAAGUCAAACAGCUGAUAGCCUGAUAGUCAGACACCAAGCACUAGACUUUAUUCUACAUAGCCUAUUGCCUACUAGAAUUACUUCUGGCAAGAGUAUUUCCUAAUCCAAUAAAAGCUACAUCAUAGACAUUUCACUGUAGCUUAGGCCCAGGUAUUACAUUGCUUACUUGAAGUUUCCUUAGGUCACAAUUCAAGUGAUCCAAAAUGAACUCAUUUUCUUACUUUCCCAGGUACCUUUGCUCCUGCAUUGCAUAUGCAGUAUGUCCAUUGUGCAGUCACAGCCUAGAAUUGUCUGCAUUUUGACAUUUUUGUUGCCAUACCCAAUUGCUGUGAGUUUCACAUAUUUUCCUAGAUUCUUUUUCUCUGCCUUUUCCUUUAGAUUUUAUUUUCACCUGCUCUCACAUGAAGGAUCACAGUAGGUUUCUCAUUGAUUUCCUUGAUUAUGGGCUUACUUUCAUUUAGUUCUCUAUAAUAUCUGCCAUAUUUUAUACUUGACACAUUUCCCUACUUCUCAUAGUCUUAUGCUGCCGUGCACUGGAUAAGAUAUGAACUGUGAACUUCCUGACAUGGACAAAGGACCUCCUGUCUCUGGUUUCUGUAAAGGUAGUCACAAGGAAAUGCAGGUACAAAAAGAAGAACAGAGAAUGAAGGAAAGGGCAUCCAGAGACUGCCGCACCUAGGUAUCCAUUCUAUCCACAGACACCAAACCCAGACAGUUUUGCUGAUGGCAAGAAGGGCUUGCUGACAGCCUGAUAUAGCUGUCCCCUGAGAGUCUCUGCCAGAGCCUGACCAAUACAGAUGCCGAUGCUCACAGCCAACCAUUAGACUGAACACUGGGACCCCAGUGAAGGAAUUCGGAGGACUGAAGGAGCUAAGGGGGAUUGAAACCCCAUAGGAAGAACAACAAUAUCAACCAAUUAGACCUUCCAGAGCUCCCAGGAACUAAACCACGAACCAAAGAGUACAUAUAGAGGGACCCAUGAUUCCAGCUGCAUAUGUAGCAGAGGACUGCCUUAUCUUGUAUUAAUGGGAAGGGAGGCCUUUGAUCCUAUGGAGACUUGAUGCUCCAGAAUAGAGGAAUGCUGGAUUGAUAAGGCUGGAGCAGGUGGAUGAAUCAUGGAGCACCCUCUUAGA